CUCAGUAAAGGUGUUGAGGAAAUUUUUGUUAGCGGCAAAUAAAACGCGUGAAUGUGAAUACUAUAACAACGUUCACAUAUACAAGCGUAGAUUUAUAUGAGAAUUGAGAGCAUAGCGCGCCGAGUAAAUUUACCUGUUAGAGCGUAAGGCAGACGAAAAACUUUUGCCAUUGUGAGUUUUUAAAACUACUGCUGUGUAAAAUCUGUUAGCACUACAAACCAGAGCGCAGCAAUAAUAUCGAAUACAACAAAUAUUUAAAUAAAAAGGCAGUCAACAACUUUAUUGCGAUUUGACCGCAAAGAAAGCGGAAAAACCACAAAUCAACAUAACUCAAUAAAAACGAGAGUCGUGCAAUCAAUGAAGUAAAUAAAUAAUUGUUUAAAAUUUAUUUCCUCAAAAAUAUACGCGAAGUGGCAGAAGUGAGCAAUAACUGAAAAUUGCCAGAAAAUUAUGGAAAAAUUUCGCGUUAAAUAUUUAAACAGUGUUAACAAAAUUUAAUAUUCGUAAUUCAAGCAAUAAAUAAAUUUAUAUAUAUGCCGAUAUAUAUUUAACAUAUACAAAAUAUUGUUAUAAAAGUAAAAUUAAGCAUUAAAAACCGACAACUUUUAAUAAAAAAAAAAAAAAAAUUACCCAAUAAAAAAUUGAUAUAAACUACCACAGGAUUUCUUAGCUGAGCGCAAGAAACAAAGCGUGGAGGAUUACAAUUGGGCGCACCCACACCUAAGCACAACCAGAUAAAUAUAAACUAAAAGGUAAGUGGAAGUAUUCUCUGCAUUUUUUGAAUUUCAUUUAAUUGCAUUGCUGCGAAGUCUGC